rnacentral:lncRNA from 1 species
CUGGGCGCUCGCGAUAUCGACGCUUUUAAGCUAAGGUCGUUCUGGACUUUCUAGCUGUUUUGAUCAAAGUUCCCAAGCUCUGGCAGGGUUGAGACAAGCACGUUCCCAAGCAUCAGCAGCCGGAAGAGCUGCUUAACCUAAAUCAUCAGCAGUUGUUUCGUCUGGCCGAAUGUAUUAUGAGCGAGUUUGUACAUCAGACUCAGGAAAAGGAUCGUGCACUACACAUCCUUCAAGAGCGGAGUCAAUUGCUACUCUCAUGUUGUGGAGGUUCCACUAAAAUGGAAGUGUUAUUGGCUCGAGAUGUGACAGACCUUGCGGGCAGUGCGGUAAAGAGCGAGAGACUGAAAACAGCCCAACAAUUACUUCUACGACUUAACGUUCGGGCUCCACAUGUCAUAACGAGACUCUCCAACACGUCGUUUGCCCAGUUUGACGACAGCAAAACCCUAGUGACGGCCGUGCCUUGCUCCAUCGAUUCAAUGGCCCUGACGCUUAUUUCUUCCCUUACGUCUCCUCAGCCAGGCAAAGAAGGUGACAUCGCUUGAUCGGGGGAUCUUACGCCAUCCUUCAACUUGCGUUACUUGUUCCAAGAAUACUAAUUGGGAGGUUGGUUUAUCGCCAGCAAGGCGUUGGCAGCCACCACUGCUUGAGGAUCGACAGGAACAACAUCAGCAAUCCGCUCCCGACAUAACGGGCAAAUUCUAACACACUGUGCAAGUGCCAUCAGUAACUUCGGGGUUUAUCUCGCGAAUUGCGGCCGGGUUAUAAGCUAAGAAUGGAAUUUCUUCUUGAACUUCCAUCAUAGCUACUUCUUCUUCAAAUAAAAUUUCCUCCUCUUGUUGUCUUCUUAGAUGAUCUUGUUGUAAUCUUUCCA